rnacentral:rRNA from 1 species
GUGCCAGCAGCCGCGGUAAGACGAACCGUGCUAACGUUAUUCGGAAUUACUGGGCUUAAAGCGCGUGUAGGCGGGCAGGCACGUCGGUCGCUGAAAGCCCCCGGCUCAACCGGGGAACGGGCGCCGAUACGGCCGGCCUGGAGGGGGGUAGGGGGAGCCGGAACUUCCGGUGGAGCGGUGAAAUGCGUUGAGAUCGGAAGGAACGCCCGUGGCGAAAGCGGGCUCCUGGACCUCACCUGACGCUGAGACGCGAAAGCUAGGGGAGCGAACGGGAUUAGAUACCCCUGUAGUCC